UAGGGAAUCUUCGGCAAUGGGGGGAACCCUGACCGAGCAACGCCGCGUGAGUGAAGAAGGUUUUCGGAUCGUAAAGCUCUGUUGUUAAGGAAGAACGAGUGUGAGAAUGGAAAGUUCAUGCUGUGACGGUACUUAAUCAGAAAGCCACGGCUAACUACGUGCCAGCAGCCGCGGUAAUACGUAGGUGGCAAGCGUUAUCCGGAAUUAUUGGGCGUAAAGCGCGCGUAGGCGGUUUUUUAAGUCUGAUGUGAAAGCCCACGGCUCAACCGUGGAGGGUCAUUGGAAACUGGAAAACUUGAGUGCAGAAGAGGAAAGUGGAAUUCCAUGUGUAGCGGUGAAAUGCGCAGAGAUAUGGAGGAACACCGGUGGCGAAAGCGGCUCUCUGGUCUGUAACUGACGCUGAGGCUCGAAAGCGUGGGGAGCGAACAGG
rnacentral:rRNA from 1 species